AACGAACGCUGGCGGCAUGCCUAACACAUGCAAGUCGAACGAGACCUUCGGGUCUAGUGGCGCACGGGUGCGUAACGCGUGGGAACCUGCCCUUAGGUUCGGAAUAACUCCCCGAAAGGGGUGCUAAUACCGGAUAAUGUCUUCGGACCAAAGAUUUAUCGCCUUUGGAUGGGCCCGCGUUGGAUUAGCUAGUUGGUAGGGUAAAAGCCUACCAAGGCGACGAUCCAUAGCUGGUCUGAGAGGAUGAUCAGCCACACUGGGACUGAGACACGGCCCAGACUCCUACGGGAGGCAGCAGUGGGGAAUAUUGGACAAUGGGCGAAAGCCUGGUCCAGCAAUGCCGCGUGAGUGAUGAAGGCCUUAGGGUUGUAAAGCUCUUUUACCCGGGAUGAUAAUGACAGUACCGGGAGAAUAAGCGCCGGCUAACUCCGUG
rnacentral:rRNA from 1 species